AUUGAACGCUGGCGGAAUGCUUUACACAUGCAAGUCGAACGGUAGAGGGGGCAACCCCUUGAGAGUGGCGAACGGGUGAGUAAUAUAUCGGAACGUGCCCAGUCGUGGGGAUAACGUAGCGAAAGUUACGCUAAUACCGCAUACGAUCUAAGGAUGAAAGCGGGGGAUCGCAAGACCUCGCGCGAUUGGAGCGGCCGAUAUCAGAUUAGGUAGUUGGUGAGGUAAAGGCUCACCAAGCCAACGAUCUGUAGCUGGUCUGAGAGGACGACCAGCCACACUGGAACUGAGACACGGUCCAGACUCCUACGGGAGGCAGCAGUGGGGAAUUUUGGACAAUGGACGCAGGUCUGAUCCAGCCAUUCCGCGUGCAGGAUGAAGGCCCUCGGGUUGUAAACUGCUUUUGUACGGAACGAAAGGUUUCUAUUAAUACUAGGAGCUCAUGACGGUACCGUAAGAAUAAGCACCGGCUAACUACGUGCCAGCAGACCGCGGUAAAGUGACUAC
rnacentral:rRNA from 1 species